rnacentral:sRNA from 1 species
UUGUGAACUACUUGUCCCGCAUCCAUCGUGAGGAGGACUUCCAGUUCAUCCUCAAGGGUAUAGCCCGGCUGCUGUCCAACCCCCUGCUCCAGACCUACCUGCCUAACUCCACCAAGAAGAUCCAGUUCCACCAGGAGCUGCUAGUUCUCUUCUGGAAGCUCUGUGACUUCAACAAGAAAUUCCUCUUCUUCGUGCUGAAGAGCAGCGACGUCCUAGACAUCCUUGUCCCCAUCCUCUUCUUCCUCAACGAUGCCCGGGCCGAUCAGUGUAAGACCAGGGUGGGGUGGGAUGCUGGGGGCUUUCCUGGCGGCGAGGUGGAGGGCUGGCCAUCUGCCCUGCCUCCCAGGAGCUCAGGCCUGGCACUCUGACCUCCCAGGAGAGAGGCCCCCAAAAUGGUCCCUGCCUGGGCCCCUCCUUCCCCCUCCCACCCGAGUGACCCCUCCCACGCCACCUGCCGCAGCUCGGGUGGGCCUGAUGCACAUAGGCGUCUUCAUCUUGCUGCUUCUGAGCGGGGAGCGGAACUUCGGGGUGCGGCUGAACAAGCCCUACUCGAUCCGCGUGCCCAUGGACAUCCCAGUCUUCACCGGGACCCACGCCGACCUGCUCAUUGUGGUGUUCCACAAGAUCAUCACCAGCGGGCACCAGCGGCUGCAGCCCCUAUUCGACUGCCUGCUCACCAUCGUGGUCAACGUGUCCCCCUACCUCAAGAGCCUGUCCAUGGUGACCGCCAACAAGUUGCUGCACCUGCUGGAGGCCUUCUCCACCACCUGGUUCCUCUUCUCUGCUGCCCAGAACCACCACCUGGUCUUCUUCCUCCUGGAGGUCUU